GACGUAGGGGGCCAGCGUUGUUCGGAAUUACUGGGUGUAAAGGGUUCGUAGGCGGUGUGGCAAGUCGGGAGUGAAAUCUCUGGGCUUAACCCAGAGGCUGCUUCCGAAACUGCUGUGCUUGAGUGUGGGAGAGGCGCGUGGAAUUGCAGGUGUAGCGGUGAAAUGCGUAGAUAUCUGCAGGAACACCCGUGGCGAAAGCGGCGCGCUGGACCACUACUGACGCUGAGGAACGAAAGCUAGGGGAGCAAACAGG
rnacentral:rRNA from 1 species